AUUGAACGCUGGCGGCAUGCUUUACACAUGCAAGUCGAACGGUAACAGGCCGCAAGGUGCUGACGAGUGGCGAACGGGUGAGUAAUGCAUCGGAACGUGCCCAGUCGUGGGGGAUAACUGCCCGAAAGAGCAGCUAAUACCGCAUACGAUCUAUGGAUGAAAGCGGGGGACCGUAAGGCCUCGCGCGAUGGGAGCGGCCAAUGUCAGAUUAGGUAGUUGGUGGGGUAAAGGCUCACCAAGCCAACGAUCUGUAGCUGGUCUGAGAGGACGACCAGCCACACUGGGACUGAGACACGGCCCAGACUCCUACGGGAGGCAGCAGUGGGGAAUUUUGGACAAUGGGGGCAACCCUGAUCCAGCAAUGCCGCGUGCAGGAAGAAGGCCUUCGGGUUGUAAACUGCUUUUGUACGGAACGAAACGGUCUGGGUUAAUACCCUGGGCUAAUGACGGUACCGUAAGAAUAAGCACCGACUAACUACGUGCCAGCCGCCGCAGUAAGAC
rnacentral:rRNA from 1 species